GACGAACGCUGGCGGCGUGCUUAACACAUGCAAGUCGAACGGAAAGGCCCUGCUUUUGUGGGGUGCUCGAGUGGCGAACGGGUGAGUAACACGUGAGUAACCUGCCCUUGACUUUGGGAUAACUUCAGGAAACUGGGGCUAAUACCGGAUAGGAGCUCCUGCUGCAUGGUGGGGGUUGGAAAGUUUCGGCGGGUGGGGAUGGACUCGCGGCUUAUCAGCUUGUUGGUGGGGUAGUGGCUUACCAAGGCUUUGACGGGUAGCCGGCCUGAGAGGGUGACCGGCCACAUUGGGACUGAGAUACGGACCAGACUCCUACGGGAGGCAGAAGUGGGGAAUAUUGCACAAUGGGCGGAAGCCUGAUGCAGCAACGCCGCGUGCGGGAUGACGGCCUUCGGGUUGUAAACCGCUUUCGCCUGUGACGAAGCGUGAGUGACGGUAAUGGGUAAAGAAGCACCGGCUAACUACGUG
rnacentral:rRNA from 1 species